rnacentral:rRNA from 1 species
UACGGGGGGGGCAAGCGUUGUUCGGAAUUACUGGGCGUAAAGGGCUUGUAGGUGGCCAACUAAGUCAGACGUGAAAUCCCUCGGCUUAACCGGGGAACUGCGUCUGAUACUGGAUGGCUAGAGUGUGGGAGAGGGAUGCGGAAUUCCAGGUGUAGCGGUGAAAUGCGUAGAUAUCUGGAGGAACACCGGUGGCGAAGGCGGCAUCCUGGACCACGACUGACACUGAAAAGCGAAAGCCAGGGGAGCAAACGAG